GCCUCCGUAGCAUAGUGGUAUUGCGUUCGCUUUGUAAGCGAAAGGCCGUGAGUUCGAUCCUCGCCGGGGGGGCU